rnacentral:rRNA from 1 species
AGAGUUUGAUCUGGCUCAGAUUGAACGCUGGCGGCAGGCUUAACACAUGCAAGUCGAGCGGAGAGAGGUAGCUUGCUACUGAUCUUAGCGGCGGACGGGUGAGUAAUGCUUAGGAAUCUGCCUAUUAGUGGGGGACAACAUUUCGAAAGGAAUGCUAAUACCGCAUACGUCCUACGGGAGAAAGCAGGGGAUCUUCGGACCUUGCGCUAAUAGAUGAGCCUAAGUCGGAUUAGCUAGUUGGUGGGGUAAAGGCCUACCAAGGCGACGAUCUGUAGCGGGUCUGAGAGGAUGAUCCGCCACACUGGGACUGAGACACGGCCCAGACUCCUACGGGAGGCAGCAGUGGGGAAUAUUGGACAAUGGGCGCAAGCCUGAUCCAGCCAUGCCGCGUGUGUGAAGAAGGCCUUAUGGUUGUAAAGCACUUUAAGCGAGGAGGAGGCUACUGAAGUUAAUACCUUCAGAUAGUGGACGUUACUCGCAGAAUAAGCACCGGCUAACUCUGUGCCAGCAGCCGCGGUAAUACAGAGGGUGCAAGCGUUAAUCGGAUUUACUGGGCGUAAAGCGCGCGUAGGCGGCUAAUUAAGUCAAAUGUGAAAUCCCCGAGCUUAACUUGGGAAUUGCAUUCGAUACUGGUUAGCUAGAGUGUGGGAGAGGAUGGUAGAAUUCCAGGUGUAGCGGUGAAAUGCGUAGAGAUCUGGAGGAAUACCGAUGGCGAAGGCAGCCAUCUGGCCUAACACUGACGCUGAGGUGCGAAAGCAUGGGGAGCAAACAGGAUUAGAUACCCUGGUAGUCCAUGCCGUAAACGAUGUCUACUAGCCGUUGGGGCCUUUGAGGCUUUAGUGGCGCAGCUAACGCGAUAAGUAGACCGCCUGGGGAGUACGGUCGCAAGACUAAAACUCAAAUGAAUUGACGGGGGCCCGCACAAGCGGUGGAGCAUGUGGUUUAAUUCGAUGCAACGCGAAGAACCUUACCUGGCCUUGACAUAGUAAGAACUUUCCAGAGAUGGAUUGGUGCCUUCGGGAACUUACAUACAGGUGCUGCAUGGCUGUCGUCAGCUCGUGUCGUGAGAUGUUGGGUUAAGUCCCGCAACGAGCGCAACCCUUUUCCUUAUUUGCCAGCGAGUAAUGUCGGGAACUUUAAGGAUACUGCCAGUGACAAACUGGAGGAAGGCGGGGACGACGUCAAGUCAUCAUGGCCCUUACGGCCAGGGCUACACACGUGCUACAAUGGUCGGUACAAAGGGUUGCUACCUAGCGAUAGGAUGCUAAUCUCAAAAAGCCGAUCGUAGUCCGGAUUGGAGUCUGCAACUCGACUCCAUGAAGUCGGAAUCGCUAGUAAUCGCGGAUCAGAAUGCCGCGGUGAAUACGUUCCCGGGCCUUGUACACACCGCCCGUCACACCAUGGGAGUUUGUUGCACCAGAAGUAGCUAGCCUAACUGCAAAGAGGGCGGUUACC